UAUUAAGAAUGAAGGUGAACC
rnacentral:misc_RNA from 1 species